GACGAACGCUGGCGGCGUGCUUAACACAUGCAAGUCGAACGGAAAGGCCCUGCUUUUGUGGGGUGCUCGAGUGGCGAACGGGUGAGUAACACGUGAGUAACCUGCCCUUGACCUUGGGAUAACUUCAGGAAACUGGGGCUAAUACCGGAUAGGAGCUCCUGCUGCAUGGUGGGGGUUGGAAAGUUUCGGCGGUUGGGGAUGGACUCGCGGCUUAUCAGCUUGUUGGUGGGGUAGUGGCUUACCAAGGCUUUGACGGGUAGCCGGCCUGGGAGGGUGACCGGCCACAUUGGGUCUGAGCUGCGGCCCAGACUCCUACGGGAGGCAGCAGUGGGGAAUAUUGCACAAUGGGCGGAAGCCUGAUGCAGCAACGCCGCGUGCGGGAUGACGGCCUUCGGGUUGUAAACCGCUUUCGCCUGUGACGAAGCGUGAGUGACGGUAAUGGGUAAAGAAGCACCGGCUAACUACGUG
rnacentral:rRNA from 1 species